rnacentral:rRNA from 1 species
CGGGGAGAGGGCAGGCAGUGGGGGAUAUGACAAUGGCGAAGCUGAUGCAGCACGCCGCGUGAGGGAUGACGGCUCCGGGUGUAACUCUUUAAGCAAGGAAGAAGCGAAAGUGACGGUACUGCAGAAAAAAGCGCCGGCUAACUACGUGCCAGCAGCCGCGGUAAUACGUAGGGCGCAAGCGUUAUCCCGGAAUUAUUGGGCGUAAAGAGCUCGUAGGCGGUUUGUCGCGUCUGCUGUGAAAACCCGAGGCUCAACCUCGGGCCUGCAGUGGGUACGGGCAGACUAGAGUGCGGUAGGGGAGAUUGGAAUUCCUGGUGUAGCGGUGGAAUGCGCAGAUAUCAGGAGGAACACCGAUGGCGAAGGCAGAUCUCUGGGCCGUAACUGACGCUGAGGAGCGAAAGGGUGGGGAGCAAACAGGCUUAGAUACCCUGGUAGUCCACCCCGUAAACGUUGGGAACUAGUUGUGGGGUCCAUUCCACGGAUUCCGUGACGCAGCUAACGCAUUAAGUUCCCCGCCUGGGGAGUACGGCCGCAAGGCUAAAACUCAAAGGAAUUGACGGGGACCCGCACAAGCGGCGGAGCAUGCGGAUUAAUUCGAUGCAACGCGAAGAACCUUACCAAGGCUUGACAUAUACGAGAACGGGCCAGAAAUGGUCAACUCUUUGGACACUCGUAAACAGGUGGUGCAUGGUUGUCGUCAGCUCGUGUCGUGAGAUGUUGGGUUAAGUCCCGCAACGAGCGCAACCCUCGUUCUAUGUUGCCAGCACGUAAUGGUGGGAACUCAUGGGAUACUGCCGGGGUCAACUCGGAGGAAGGUGGGGAUGACGUCAAAUCAUCAUGCCCCUUAUGUCUUGGGCUUCACGCAUGCUACAAUGGCCGGUACAAAGGGCUGCAAUACCGCAAGGUGGAGCGAAUCCCAAAAAGCCGGUCCCAGUUCGGAUUGAGGUCUGCAACUCGACCUCAUGAAGUCGGAGUCGCUAGUAAUCGCAGAUCAGCAACGCUGCGGUGAAUACGUUCCCGGGUCUUGUACACACCGCCCGUCAAGUCUUGAAACUCGGUACCACUUUUUUUCCCCGCCCCUAUAAGGUGUCACAAUGUCGCUAGAGAGUACG